AAUGUAUAAAAUAAUCUUGACUAUCGAUUGAUCUAGCAAACGAAACAGCAAGUCUUGUAUUUCUGCACGGUUUUCGAAUAGAAUCGUCUUUAUGUUGCUUAAACAUUCAGUAUGCACAUAGCAAGCCCUUUUCUAAACUUCGCUUUCAUUUUCAAAAACCGCAAUUAUUAUCUUUUGUACAUCAUCAGCUGGAUUUAAGUAAUGUAAUCAUUACGCUCUCUCAAAUACUUGUAACGAUUUCGACAAAAAAUGAUUAAUUGAUGAAAAGUCAAGUUGAGUUUUUGAACACGCUAUGUUGUUAAAAAUAUUAUUCUGGUUUGUCUGGCAGUACAAUUGGAACAAUAUAUGUUAAAUGCAAUAAUACAUUCGCGAUGAAGGACUUUCAAGUACAUGGCUAUUUUGUGAAUUCCUGUGUUUUCUCGAUUGUUAAAACAAGGAGAUUUUUGGCAUAUUUGAAUUAAACUUGCCAUUUCAUAAGAAAUUUCUAUAUUUAAUAUUAAUAAAGUUUUUGGGCGUUCCUUUUUCCGCUAUUUGCUAGCUCUUCUAUACUUUGUUUACACUUUUAAAUGUUUGACAUAUAUGCUGCUAAUCCUCAAAUCGCCUCAAUGAAUUCUUUUUAAACCAAAAAGAAA